rnacentral:rRNA from 1 species
UACGAAGGGGGCUAGCGUUGCUCGGAAUCACUGGGCGUAAAGCGCACGUAGGCGGUUCUUUAAGUCAGGGGUGAAAUCCUGGAGCUCAACUCCAGAACUGCCUUUGAUACUGGGGAUCUCGAGUCCGGGAGAGGUGAGUGGAACUCCGAGUGUAGAGGUGAAAUUCGUAGAUAUUCGGAAGAACACCAGUGGCGAAGGCGGCUCACUGGCCCGGUACUGACGCUGAGGUGCGAAAGCGUGGGGAGCAAACAGG